UGGCGCUCGAGCUCAAGCUGACUGCCGCCAGCCAGCAGCGCUCGCCGCUGGUGCGUCUGACGGGCCUCCUGCUGAGCACGGCUCCGGCCGCCGGGCUGCAGCUCGACCUCACCGGCAUGGACAUCUCGCUCACGCUCAGCCAGACCCUGACCGGCGCCACCGCCGGCAAACCGUCGUCCACGCAGCAGCGCAAGAUCCUGGCGCUGCUGGACCAGGUCAGCUUCAGCCACGAGCCGGUGGUGCCGCCCAACUGGCAGUACUUCGUGCCGGCCAAGGUGGAGGAGGU